rnacentral:tRNA from 1 species
GCCCGGUUAGCUCAGUCCUUAGGGCACCAGACUCUUAAUCUGGCGGUCGCGGAGUUCGAGCCUCCCAUCGGGCU